GGAGGCAGCAGUAGGGAAUCUUCCGCAAUGGGCGAAAGCCUGACGGAGCAACGCCGCGUGAGUGAUGAAGGUCUUCGGAUCGUAAAACUCUGUUAUCAGGGAAGAACAAAUGUGUAAGUAACUGUGCACAUCUUGACGGUACCUGAUCAGAAAGCCACGGCUAACUACGUGCCAGCAGCCGCGGUAAUACGUAGGUGGCAAGCGUUAUCCGGAAUUAUUGGGCGUAAAGCGCGCGUAGGCGGUUUUUUAAGUCUGAUGUGAAAGCCCACGGCUCAACCGUGGAGGGUCAUUGGAAACUGGAAAACUUGAGUGCAGAAGAGGAAAGUGGAAUUCCAUGUGUAGCGGUGAAAUGCGCAGAGAUAUGGAGGAACACCAGUGGCGAAGGCGACUUUCUGGUCUGUAACUGACGCUGAUGUGCGAAAGCGUGGGGAUCAAACAGGAUUAGAUACCCUGGUAGUCCACGCCGUAAACGAUGAGUGCUAAGUGUUAGGGGGUUUCCGCCCCUUAGUGCUGCAGCUAACGCAUUAAGCACUCCGCCUGGGGAGUACGACCGCAAGGUUGAAACUCAAAGGAAUUGACGGGGACCCGCACAAGCGGUGGAGCAUGUGGUUUAAUUYGAAGCAACGCGAAGAACCUUACCAAAUCUUGACCAUCCUUUGACCGCUCUAGAGAUAG
rnacentral:rRNA from 1 species